rnacentral:pre_miRNA from 1 species
AAAUAGGUAAAACAUGGGUUUCCGUGCCAACGUUUGACUGUCCGUCUUAUAUAAAACUUUUUUUAUAAUUAGUAUUUUCAUUGUUGUUAGAUGAUAAAUGAUUAAUAUUUUAUGCGUGACUUAUCUUUUUAAUUUUUUCAUAAUUUUUUUAAAUAAGACGGACAGUCAAACGUUAGACACGGAAACUAGGGUUUGUCUUUUU